rnacentral:rRNA from 1 species
GACGUAGGGGGCCAGCGUUGCUCGGAAUUACUGGGCGUAAAGGGUUCGUAGGCGGUGCGGCAAGUUGGGAGUGAAAUCUCUGGGCUUAACCCAGAGGCUGCUUCCAAAACUGCCGUGCUAGAGUGCGAGAGAGGCCAGUGGAAUUGCAGGUGUAGCGGUGAAAUGCGUAGAUAUCGGGAGGAACACCUGAGGCGAAGGCGGGCUACUGGGCCGAUACUGACGCUGAGGCGCGAAAGCCAGGGGAGCAAACGGG